rnacentral:rRNA from 1 species
AGUUGAUCCUGGCUCAGAACGAACGCUGGCGGUAUGCUUAACACAUGCAAGUCGAACGGUAACAGGCAGAAGCUUGCUUUUGCGCUGACGAGUGGCGGACGGGUGCGUAACGCGUGGGAAUCAACCCUAAAGCGGAGGACAACUCGAGGAAACUCGAGCUAAUACUGCAUAUUCUCUACGGAGAAAAGAGGGCCUCUAUUUAUAAGCUCUCACUUUAGGAUGAGCCCGCGUUGGAUUAGCUUGUUGGUGAGGUAAAGGCUCACCAAGGCGACGAUCCAUAGCUGGUCUGAGAAGACGAACAGCCACACUGGGACUGAGACACGGCCCAGACUCCUACGGGAGGCAGCAGUGGGGAAUAUUGGACAAUGGGCGAAAGCCUGAUCCAGCAAUACCGCGUGUGUGAAGAAGGCCCUUGGGUUGUAAAGCACUUUAGUUGAGGAAGAAAAGCUUAGGAUUAAUAAUCCUGAGCCUUGACGUUACUCAAAGAAUAAGCACCGGCUAACUCUGUGCCAGCAGCCGCGGUAAGACAGAGGGUGCAAGCGUUAAUCGGAAUUACUGGGCGUAAAGAGUACGUAGGCGGCUCGUUAAGUUGGAUGUGAAAGCCCCGGGCUUAACCUGGGACGGUCAUCCAAGACUGGCGAGCUAGAGUUCGAGAGAGGUGAGUGGAAUUCCAAGUGUAGAGGUGAAAUUCGUAGAUAUUUGGAGGAACACCAGUGGCGAAGGCGGCUCACUGGCUCGAUACUGACGCUGAGGUACGAAAGUGUGGGGAGCAAACAGGAUUAGAUACCCUGGUAGUCCACACCGUAAACGAUGAAUGCCAGACGUCGGGGGGCUUGCCCUUCGGUGUCACACCUAACGGAUUAAGCAUUCCGCCUGGGGAGUACGGCAAAGGAAUUGACGGGGGCCCGCACAAGCGGUGGAGCAUGUGGUUUUGACAUCCUUGGACCGCUAGAGAGAUCUAGUUUUCUCGUAAGAGA